rnacentral:lncRNA from 1 species
UCGGGUCUCUAAAGUUACUACCACAAAUGGCAAAACCAAGACUACAUUUAUCUACACCAUCAGAGUUACACUUAAUCCAUCCGGAUUUGGGGGAGGCCAAACAACCUCAAUUAUAGCUUACACAGAUGGCACUCAAUGUUACUUAAAAGCCUUAAUGAUACUAAAUUUUUGAUUAGAAGAAGAAUGAUCUUUACUAAAAGAGCUAACAAGAUGAACCUCGGAAUAAAUAUAACAGGUGAUUCACUAAACAUAUAUUGAACAUUUCCAAUGCAGCAAUUGGGUGAACAAUGAAUUUGGAAAACUAAAUCUAACCACUAAAAGUGAUCAAAUGAAUGAAAAAAAUAAUAAAUAUAUGUUUUAAACUAAAAGAACAAAAUGACCUUUUGUUCUGUUAUUACAUGAAAAUAACCA